AAGGUUUUAAGUUAUUUAAACUAUUAGCCUUCAAAGCUAAAAAUAAAAUUAAAAUUUUAAACCUUA
rnacentral:tRNA from 1 species